CUCAACAAUAGACUCGGUGAAAUUUAAAUUCCAGUGAAGAUGCUGGGUACCCGCGACAGGACGGAAAGACCCCGUGGUGCUUUACUGUAGCUUGAUAUUGAAUGUUUGUGCUGCAUGUGCAGGAUAGGUAGGAGACUUUGAAGUCGGAACGCUAGUUUCGAUUGAGUCACCCUUGAGAUACUACCUCUGUUGUAUGAACGUUCUAACUCUGAUCAGUUAUCCUGAUCGAAGACAGUGUCUGGCAGGCAGUUUGACUGGGGCGGUCGCCUCCUAAAAGAUAACGGAGGCGCUCAAAGGUUUGCUCAGAAUGGUUGGAAAUCAUUCGUAGCGUGUAAAGGCAUAAGCAAGCUUGACUGUGAGACUGACAAGUCGAGCAGGUACGAAAGUAGGACUUAGUGAUCCGGUGGUUCCGUAUGGAAGGGCCAUCGCUCAACGGACAAAAGCUACCCCGGGGAUAACAGGCUCAUCUCCCCCAAGAGUCCACAUCGACGGGGAGGUUUGGCACCUCGAUGUCGGCUCAUCGCAUCCUGGGGCUGUAGUCGGUCCCAAGGGUUGGGCUGUUCGCCCAUUAAAGCGGUACGCGAGCUGGGUUCAGAACGUCGUGAGACAGUUCGGUCCCUAUCCGUCGUGGGCGCAGGAAAUUUGAGAGGAUCUGUCCUUAGUACGAGAGGACCGGGAUGGACAUACCUCUGGUGUACCAGUUGUUCUGCCAAGAGCACCGCUGGGUAGCUACGUAUGGAUUAGAUAAUCGCUGAAAGCAUCUAAGUGAGAAACUAACCUCGAGAUGAGAUUUCCCAUUCGUCAGAAGUAAGACCCCUGAGAGACGAUCAGGUAGAUAGGCUAGAAGUGGAAGUGUAGUGAUGCAUGGAGCGGACUAGUACUAAUAGGUCGAGGACUUAACCAAG
rnacentral:rRNA from 1 species